rnacentral:snoRNA from 1 species
UGGAUGAUGAGGCCCUUUCAAUAGAUUGGUGAUAAAGGCCCGUGUUUCUGAU